rnacentral:rRNA from 1 species
CCUACGGGUGGCAGCAGUGGGGAAUAUUGCACAAUGGGCGCAAGCCUGAUGCAGCAACGCCGCGUGAGGGAAGAAGGCAUUCGGUUCGUAAACCUCUAUUCUCGGGGACGAACCACUGACGGUACCCCAGGCAUAAGCCACGGCUAACUACGUCCCAGCAGCCCCGCUAAUACGUAGGUGGCAAGCGUUAUCCGGAUUUAUUGGGUGUAAAGGUCGUGUAGUCGGGAAUGCAAGUAAGAUGUGAAAACUCAGAGCUCAACUCUGGGACUGCAUUUGAAACUGGGUUUCUUGAGUGCUGGAGGGGCAAGCGGAAUUCCGGGUGUAGCGGUGAAAUGCGUAGAUAUACGGAGGAACACCAGUGGCGAAGGCGGAUUGCUGGACAGUAACUGACGCUGAGGCGCGAAAGCGUGGGGAGCAAACAGGAUUAGAUACCCCAGUAGUC